CCUACGGGUGGCAGCAGUAGGGAAUAUUGCUCAAUGGGGGAAACCCUGAAGCAGCAACGCCGCGUGGAGGAUGAAGGUUUUCGGGUUGUAAACUCCUUUUGUUAGAGAAGAUAAUGACGGUCUCUAACGAAUAAGCAACGGCUAACCCCGUGCAAGAAGCCGCGGUAAUACGGAGGGGGCAAGGGUUACUCGGAGUCACUGGGCGUAAGGAGCGCGUAGGCGGGAGAGCAGGUCAGAUGUGAAAUCCUAUGGCUUAACCAUAGAACUGCAUUUGAAACUGUUAUUCUAGAGUAUGGGAGAGGUAGGUGGAAUUCUUGGUGUAGGGGUAAAAUCCGUAGAGAUCAAGAGGAAUACUCAUUGCGAAGGCGACCUGCUAGAACAUAACUGACGCUGAUGCGCGAAAGCGUGGGGAGCAAACAGGAUUAGAUACCCGUGUAGUC
rnacentral:rRNA from 1 species